AUUGCUGGUGAUGAUGUCCAUGAUUCAGAUCCAUACUGUAGGAAGUCUGCCUCAUUGAGCAUACCUCUAUUAUGCUAACUGCCUAUGUUUUCUUCAAAAUUGUUUGGAUACUCGUUCAUGGAGUAAAUGGCUCUCUCAGUUCUGCACUCUUGACUUUUAGGAGGUUAAAUGUGCAUGUGUGAAUUAAACUCACCAAUGUUCUCUCGUAAGCAUUUCCCUCUAAUAUGUAAGUUUCUGCAUAUAUGAGAGAAACUCAGAGCAAGAAUGUCCUGAUUUACCUGGUGUUCCGGGACUUCGGAAGCCUAUCCUGUCACUCUUGCUUUCUGUGUUUUGGCAUGCAUCAAGUGGUGCACCCCUUACCUUUCAAUCUAUGGCCUCUCAUUAGUGACCUCACAGUCUUGGGAAAACUCAUUAAAUGGGGAAUAUAUGAAACCAUGCAGCGUUAUGCACCAAGGUUUUUGGACUUGCAUGUCAUCUUGCUCCUGUGCAAUAUAUUAUUUGAGAAAAGGUUAAAAAUGAGAGCUAAAGCUCAUCACUGGGUGGGGCAUCUCCUUAACUCCGUUCGCCUCAGUUCACAUAUAGAUGCAAAUCAUGAGGCAGAAACGCUCUUCCUUCCAAACUAAUUCAAGCAUGCCAUUAUCUUGUCUUGGACAAAGGUGAUAUCAUUUCCGAUGGAAUCUUCCUCUAGGAUUUGAUGUCAGGACCAGACAAAAACGGUUUCACGGUGGAAAGGUGGGUACACAGUUGGCAAAUGCGAAGCCAAUAUGUAUGUUUUCAGACAACUGGCAAACAGGAAGCCAAUAUUUUUACAAGCACAUCCCAACGGCAUGUCACCGAUCAGGUAGAAUAAUAGUGGAUCUGAAGGUCCCGUUGAAAUUUCUUUACUUCAAUUAAAUAGUCAUCGAGUACAAGGAAUGCUUCCACAUGUUAUUUGGGUUGAUGAGCCGUACGAGGAAUUAGAGGAAAGUGCUGGUGAUGCCAAACUUCUGAAAAAGGUAAAAGCUCAUCUGAUUCGAAAUAAAAUAGAAUAGCCGUCGCUUGUGAUUCAUCACCAUCAAUCAGAUCUCAACCCACCCAUUACCACCAGCCUGUAUGACCAAUCAGGACCAUCUAGGUGGCAUAGCCUCUUUUGUCAUCUCCAUGCCUGUCAUCACUAACCCCCCCCCCCCCUUAAGUUGGGAGAAAAACUCGAUUUCUUCUGAUUUUUCGAGUCUCCCAUUUAUUCACCGGCAAUCAAACGAAUACAUUCUUUUAAUUCUUCAGAUAUUCUUAGAUAACAGCAGUGUACAUGCAGGUUCUACGAAUAAUCGUUAAAUGCUACACUGGAAUAUGUACUUGCUAGCAAUAGAAUAAUGUUGACUGUCACGUUAGAAAUGCUUUAAUUUCUCUAGUAAUAUCCGCGGAAAUAAAAUUAUACUCUUACCGAUGAUGUCAAACCUUUUCCACUAGCUCCGAGAUCAUUUGGAUGCGAAGCGAUCCUGACCGUGUGAUCGAAUGGUGCUCGUCCUGGAGGGUGGAGACGCUCAUCCAGCCUUUCACCGAGUGGGGAGAAGAUAAGUCAGAACCAAUUAGUGGGUGGGGCCCACGAAGGAGACGGUCUGUUGAUUGGAUGGAAUAAGGGGCCCGCGUAGCGUAUAAAUAUCCAUCACGUGUAAGGCCAGUUCGCUUUUUGCCCCGUCAGGGCAUUUCUUUAACUUUUUGCCGAAGUGAACGGACGCGCUUUAACCUGCAACGAUACUCUUCCUCCGCCGGACCACCGAGGUGCAGACAUGCAGCGCGCGAAAGAAAAUAUUGAUAAAUUAAA